rnacentral:pre_miRNA from 1 species
UUAAUACUCCCUCCGUCCGAAAAUACUUGUCAUCAAAAUGAAUAAAAGGGGAUGUAUCUAGACAUAUUUUAGUUCUAGAUACAUCUUUUUUUAUUCAUUUUGAUGACAAGUAUUUUUGGACGGAGGGAGUAGCGC